CUUGAACCUUAAUCGAACUGACACAGUUGGUGUCCCUACCUGUCCAGUCAAUCUUUCAUAAGGUGAAAACUGUCCUAUUGGUCUACUAUUUAGUAUCAUAACUGCCUGCGUGAUCACCCGGUCCCACCCCCUCAAUGUCCUACUUGGGGAUAGCUUCCGAAUCUGUUCUUUUAAAAGCCCAUUGCACCUUUCAAUCAACCCCGAAGCUUGAGGAUGAUAGGGGAUGUGGAAGAUCCACUUAAUCCCGGAGUCAUUUGCCCACUGCUGUACGAGCUGUCCAGUGAAGUGGGUUCCAUUGUCUGUCUGAAUCUCAGAUGGCAGUCCAUAAGCAAUCACAAGAGUCUGUAGCAUCUGAAGUGUUGAGGCCUGGUUCGCAUGUUUGCAGGGUAAUACUUUCAGAAUUCCGGAAAAGGUGUCUACAGCAGUACAACAAUACAUCAGCCCCCCUCUUCCUUUAGGCAUGGGACCAAUGUAGUCCAUCUGCCAGAUCUG